GCCAAUUUCCUGUUUAGAAUUGUAACAAAUUUCGUUUUGCAAAUUUAUUGAUUUUUGAUGAAACUUACCUAAGUACAUCGGUUACUUUCCCCUGUAUAUAUAUUUCCCUGAAAACUGAGAAUGGGUCACGACAAUUUUGAGCCCUUUAAUUUUGAAUUAUUUAGAAAUAUCAGAGUCUAACAAAUAAGGUACGUUAUUUUCUACAUAUAUUCUAUGCAUUUUGUGAUAAUAUGAAAGUAAAUUUAGCUAUUUCAAUGCCAUUAAUAUGAACUUGAGACAAUGACAAAAUAUUGCCAAUCGGAUAAUUGUUUACUUUCGAAAUAUGAACUUUAUUCAUAACUUGUGUAAAUCCUAGAUGUUGCAAUGACUGUUUUCUAUAUUUUCACACCUAUGUUUAUAUUUUUGUGUAUGUUUUGAACAUUGUAAUUGGUACAAAUCUCAUGAUGAUUGCAUUUUCUUUGUAGUCAAUCUCAUCUCACCUGUUUAUACUUUGGAUCCAGUAACUUGGAAUAUUUUUGGAAUAAACUUGAGGUGUGAAUUGUGUUAUAUUCAUUUCGACUGAUAUUAGCGGGAUGUAUUCAUUGACUUAUUUGACGAAUAUGAGCACGCCAGAAGAAGUCGACUCAAUUAUAGAAUCAGAUCUGAUUUUGAAAAGUGUGGACACAGAAAUAAGUGGACAACAAAUAAGUUCCGAAACAAUUAUGGAUGAGAACGUCAAAACAGAAACGACAGAUAAAAUGGAAGAACAGAAAACCCUUGAGGCAGUAGGCGGGGUUAGGCCGAGAAAGUAUACGGACAAAGGAAAAGAAUUUAGCGAAGGACAAAUAGCUCAGUGUUUUAAUGGAUUAAAGGUGUUAAGUGAAAAAAUAAUCAGAAUGAUAUCUGACAAAGAACACAACGAGGCAAUACGAGUGAACUAUAGUAAUUGGAUGCAAGACUAUGAACAGUUUCUUAUAAAGCAUCAAACACAUUUUAGUAGAUUAAAAGAGACAGAACAAGAAGAGUACAUGCAGAUUCAUACUCCUAGAGAUGUCUUUCUAAUGAACUGUAAAAGUGAAAUACAACAAAAUAUUAAUUCAAACCCUGUCCAAAGACAAGAAAGUGCUAGAGGCAAAUCAGUAAGAAGCGCGGGCAGCUCGUCAGUAUCUUCAAAACGACUAGAAGUUGAGGAAAAAAGGAUCGAGCUAGAGGCAAAAAGACAAGCAAUGAAACGGAAGCGAGAACUUGAAAUGGCGAAAAAGUCAUUACAGUUAGAUGAAGAUGAACUUCAAAUGCAAACCGAAAUAGCUGUCGCUGAUGCAAAAGCAAUGAUAUACGACAAGUUCGAAAGAGGUGAAAUUGACGGCGUUGAAUUGCCGAAAGUAAAACUUGAAAACAUAGAAUCUAUGCCGAAACCUUUACAGGACAAAGUGCAGUCGACUGUCGAGUCAAAGACAUUAAACCCUGUGGCAAAAGCAUUUCAACCAGCGAAGGAGAAAAUGGCCAAAGUAAAGGACACUGGUAAAUUGGAUUUUAUGAAGCUGCCACCUGUCGGAAUGACAGAAAACACUACAGUUCCAAAACAGAGUGUUCAUGUACAUUUACCAUCAUACAGACCAACCCAAAGUGACGAUGUAACAUCUGCGCCGAUUCAAAACUUGGCUUGUAAUUCUAACAGUAGUGCUGAAACAGCUUUUCAAAGUAUGGUGCAGCAUUUGAGAAAACCGACACCGGAAAUAAGGAAAUUUAAUGGAAAUCCUCUGGAAUAUAGGAAGUUUCUCCGACAAUUCGAAGCUAAGGUUGUUAUGAACUGUGAACAUGACGAUGAAAAGAUGAACUAUCUUGAGCAACUAACAUAUGGAGAAGCGCAUAAGGUAGUAUCAAGUUACAGUCACUUGCCAGGUAAUAGAGCAUAUCAGGCGUCAAUGCGUCAUCUUGAAGAGCGAUAUGGGGAUACAGACGUGAUGGCGUCGGCCUUUAUUAAAAAGGCUUUGGAUUGGCCAAGUAUUAAAUCAGGAGAUAUUAAAUCGUUGGACGAAUUUGCGUUGUUUUUGGUUGAAUGUCAAUACGGCACAGAGAGUAUGGAAGCCGGAAAUGUUUUAGAGUACUCUGAAAAUAUUAAACGUCUGAUGUCAAAAUUGCCCUUUCAUAUGCACGAUCGAUGGAGAAAUGUUGUAUAUCGUUUAAAGGAAUUGCACAAAACAGUAAAGUUUAUUGACUUUGUGAACUUUGUUAAAACGGAAGCGAAAAAGGCAACGGAUCCGACCUAUGGUAACAUCGCCAUGAAUUAUUCGAAUUCUCGUAGCACAAAUCAACGACAACAUGGACAAAGAGUUUCAAACGUCUGUGAUGCGGCAAAGAAUACUAGUACUGAAAUACACUGUUCCUACUGUAACGGAACACAUGAAUUAGGCAAUUGUAAACGACUUAUUGCUCGUCCACGGGAAGACCGAAUCACUUACUUGAAAAGUAAAGGACAUUGCUUUGGGUGUUUGAGAAAGGGCCAUAUGAGUAACAAGUGUAAAAAAAGACUCAAAUGCUCAAUCUGCGGGCGACUACAUCCAACUAUUCUUCAUAAUGACAAUCAAUCAAAUAAACCGCCAUCGUCACAGCAAGAUUCAUUUAGUAAAAAUGAUGAUUCUCAAAAAUCCGAAAAUCAUGAAAGCACACAGCAACUUGAACAAGUGGUUAAUAGCUCUACUUGUAGUGAUAGAGGGGCUGGCGAUGUUACUUGUGCUAUGGCGAUAAUACCUGUGCGAGUUAAAUUGAACAAUAAAUCCCAGAGUGUCAAGACUUAUGCCUUCUUCGACUCAGGUAGUAGCAUAACCUUUUGCAGUGAUAAACUAAUGCGUCAACUUGGAGCCAAUGGUAAGAAAACUCAGAUUACCAUCAAUACUAUGGGAAACACACAAACUCUAAAUACAUAUGCGAUUAAUGGUCUACAAGUGUCAAGUUUGUCAAUGGAACACGUGGUUGAUUUGCCAAAGGUGUAUACUAAGGUCAACAUGCCUGUAUCAAAGGAACAUAUUCCCACUCCGCAAGAAAUUGAGAAAUGGACUCAUUUAGAUUCGGUUGAUAUCCCAGAGAUAGAUGCGGACAUAGGAAUUAUGAUUGGCAACAACGUUCCGGAUGCAUUUACGCCAUUCGAUGUGGCAACAGGGCCGAGUGGUUCUCCACAUGCAACGAAAACGAGACUAGGAUGGAUACUUUGGAACGUUUUACGUGAAACACAAGGAAAUAGUUUUGAGGUUAAUAGAGUGCACCUCCAGAGAGAAGGAAUCGAUGAAACACAACUUGACAUUUUAAUGCAAAGUAUUAAUUUUGAUUUUCCAGAAAGGAUAAUAGAGGACAAGAAAGAAAAUUCAGUGGAGGACAACAUGUUUAUGCGACAAGUUGAGAAAUCAAUCAAACUUGAUGAAGAUGGUCAUUAUUGUAUUGGUUUACCGUUCAGAAACAAUGAAGUAUAUUUUCCAAAUAACUCGGAACAAUGUUUGCAGAGACUGAAUUCGUUAAAGAGGAAGUUAUUGAAAAAUCCUCGUUUUAAGCAGGAUUAUCUGAAAUUUAUGGACAAGAUUAUUGAAAGAGGUUACGCAGAACCUGUUCCUUCCGAUGACUUGGAUAGAAAUGACGGAAAGGUUUGGUACCUACCCCAUCAUGGUGUGUACCACCCCCAAAAGCCAGAAAAGAUUCGCGUCGUUUUCGAUUGCUCUGCAAGAAAUCUAGGUGUUUCUUUGAACAAUGAAUUGUUACAAGGCCCGAAUUUAGCAAAUAAUCUUUUAGGCGUUCUGAUGCGAUUUAGGCAAGACAAGAUUGCAGUGUUAGGCGAUAUUGAAUCCAUGUUUUAUCAAGUCAAAGUACCAACAAAUAACAGAGACUGUUUGCGAUUCUAUUGGUGGAAGAAUGGAAACAUAGAUGAAAACCCAACAGAAUAUAGAAUGACUGUGCAUUUAUUUGGAGCAACAUCUUCGCCUAGUUGUUGCAACUACGCACUUCAGUACACUGCAGAAAAGUUCAAAGACGAAUUUGACACUAAGGUGACAGAUACUGUGAAUAAAAACAUGUACGUUGAUGACUGUUUGUCGUCAGUUGAUGAAGUGGAAAAGGCAGUUUCACUUAUAAAGAACGUUACUAAACUGUGUAGUAAAGGAGGUUUUAAUUUGACUAAAUGGAUGACAAACAAUCAAACUGUUCUGGAAUCUGUACCUGAAAAGGAUCGUAGUAAGAGGUCACAUGAAUGGAGUUUAAGCAACGAAAGUGGAGUCGAACGCGCUUUAGGCGUUUAUUGGUUCGUAAAUGAAGAUAAACUUGGUUUUCACAUCAACAUGAAACAUAAACCACAGACUAGACGUGGAAUUCUUAGUGUAGUUAGUUCUGUCUAUGAUCCUAUUGGAAUCGCGUCUCCCUUUGUGUUAUCUGCGAAAUCCAUUCUUCAAAGUCUUUGUAAAAGGGGCAUAGGAUGGGACGAAGAGAUCCCCGACAAUGAGCUUACCAAAUGGAAUAAAUGGCUUAAUCAACUAGAACAACUGGAAGGUAUCAAAGUCGAUAGGUGUUACAAACCUCAAAGUUUCAAGACUGUUGUUUCUUGCCAAUUACAUUGCUUUGCGGACGCAAGUGAUUUAGGUUAUGGAUCCGUCUUUUACCUUAGAUUAGUCGAUGAAGAGGGAAAUAUUCAAUGCUCGUUCGUAUUAGGAAAAUCGAGAGUGGCACCGUUGAAAACGGUUACAAUUCCUAGAAUGGAGCUGACAGCUGCUACAACUGCGGUGAAACUUUGUCGUAUGAUUACAAAGGAACUUGAAUAUACAAUUGAUGAAAUUCAUUACUGGACAGACAGUAUGUCCGUACUCAGAUACAUUGCGAACACAAAAACACGUUUUAACACUUUUGUAGCCAAUCGUUUGGCAGUGAUUCAAGAUGCAACUAAUAUUGACCAAUGGCAUUAUGUUGAUACGAAACAGAAUCCAGCAGAUUUAGCCAGUAGAGGAACUUCGAUUGAUAAAUUCCGUUCGUGUAUGCAAUGGUUCAAUGGUCCAGAGUUCUUGUGGAAAGCCGUGGAAUCGUGGCAAGAUAAUAGCGCAAGCACGACGUUAGACUUAAGCGUUUCAGAUGACCUUGAGAUUAAGGGUGUCGGCACGGUUUGUGCUGUCAAGCCAGAAUCUACUUUUGGACUUGAUCGCUUAAUUGAACACUUUUCUGAUUUAAAAAAGUUGAUUAAGGUAGUUGCCUUAUUUAUCCGUGCUAUUGACAAGUAUAAAACUAAACACAAGUUAUCACUUGAAAGCGUUAGAAACGAGAAAUCUACUGGAAAGAAGAUCGACAUGAUUUCAACUGAAAUGAUUGUCAGAGCAGAGAAAGUACUUUUAGCGUAUAUUCAUAGAAAACAUUUUAUAGACGAAAUAGAAGUGUUACAGAAGCAACAGAUAGGCAAUAUUGUAAAACAUCUCAAAUCUUCAUCGAAACUAAGGAAGCUUGAUCCAUUUUUGGACGAAGAAGGAUUGUUAAGAGUAGGUGGUCGGUUGGAACGCUCAGAUAUUCAGUACGAUGCAAUGCACCCAAUCAUUCUACCGAAGGAUUCAACAGUGUCAAAGCUUAUAAUCGAAAACCUUCAUCGUUCUAUUGGACACUUAGGAAGGAAUUCAAUGUUGGCUGUUCUUAGACAACAUUAUUGGAUCUUAGGUGCUAAUGCGAUUAUAAAGACAUUAAUUGCCAAAUGUGUACUAUGUAGGAAGUAUCAAGGUGCUUUAGGCAAACAGAAAAUGGCAAGCCUUCCUGAGGAAUGUUUGAAGGCAGAUGAUCCGCCGUUUACAAGAAUCGGUAUAGAUUUCUUUGGACCGUUCGAAAUAAAGCAAGGCAGAAGUGUUGUGAAGAGAUAUGGUGUGAUUUUUACAUGCUUGAAUAUCAGAGCAAUUCAUUUGGAGUUAGCACAUUCGCUCGACACUGACUCAUGUAUAAAUGCUAUAAGACGAUUUAUAGCGAGACGAGGAGUACCUGAAUUCAUUAGGACAGAUAAUGGUACAAAUUUAGUGGGUUCAGAGAGGGAACUCAGAGAAGAGAUAAAUCGAUGGAAUAUAAAUCGAAUGCAGGAAUUUAUGAUACAAAGACAUAUUCAAUGGGAAUUUAAUCCUCCUUCUGCAUCACAUUUUGGAGGCGUUUGGGAGCGUCUGAUAAGAUCUGUGCGAAAGGUUCUUUUUUCGAUCAUGCAUGAACAGAACAUUCGAUUGACUGAUGAAGGUCUUAUGACUCUAUUCUGCGAAGUAGAAGGCAUUCUUAAUGGAAGACCGAUCACAGAAGCGUCAAACAGUAUUACAGACUUGAAAGUAUUGACUCCGAAUCACUUGAUACUUCAGCGUCCGGGUGAAAGUUUUCCACCUGGUGUGUUCUCUAAAACCGACAACUAUGUCAAAAGAAGAUGGAGGCAAAUUCAAUAUCUUGCUGAUCUGUUUUGGAGCAGGUGGAGAAAAGAAUAUCUGCCUCUUCUGCAGAACCGCCAAAAAUGGACAAAAUCUGAAAGAAACAUGCAGUUAGGUGAUAUCGUUCUUAUUGCGGACAAUGCACCGAGAAAUUCGUGGAACAUGGCUCGAGUGAUUGAACUCAUCAAAGACAAGAACAAUGUAGUUAGAGUUGUUAAGGUAAAAACCUCAAACUCUGUGUUGAUGAGACCAGUUGCGAAACUUUGUCUUCUUCUAGAAUCAGACUGAAAAUACUCACCGCUGCCACCAAACCUGUGUUGUUAUGAUAGACAUGUGUUGAACAUUUAUGAUAUAAUUGACCUUUGAUUUUGUUUGAGUAAUUGCGUUCUAGUUAAGAACCCAAUUUAGGGGCUGGUAUGUAAAGGCCAAUUUCCUGUUUAGAAUUGUAACAAAUUUCGUUUUGCAAAUUUAUUGAUUUUUGAUGAAACUUACCUAAGUACAUCGGUCACUUUCCCCUGUAUAUAUAUUUCCCUGAAAACUGAGAAUGGGUCACGACAAUUUUGAGCCCUUUAAUUUUGAAUUAUUUAGAAAUAUCAGAGUCUAACAAAUAAGUCAAUCUCAUCUCACCUGUUUAUACUUUGGAUCCAGUAACUUGGAAUAUUUUUGGAAUAAACUUGAGGUGUGAAUUGUGUUAUAUUCAUUUCGACUGAUAUUAGCGGG